UCUGACCGUUGAAAGGUAGCGUAAUCACUUGUUCUUUAAAUGAGGACUAGUAUGAACGGCAUCACGAGGGUUACACUGUCUCCCCACUUUAAUCAGUGAAACUAAUCUCCCCGUGAAGAAGCGGGGAUAAAUAUAUAAGACGAGAAGACCCCAUGGAGCUUUAAACUCAGUACCACCUGCCACUACUAAAACAUAUAAACCACGCAGUAUUGUCUACUAGUUUUCGGUUGGGGUGACCACGGAGUAAAACAAAUCCUCCACAACGAAAGGAACUAAUAACCUAAUCUAAGAGCCACACCUCUAAGAAUCAAUAAAUUGACUAAACUGAUCCAAUUAUUUGAUCAAUGAACCAAGUUACCCUGGGGAUAACAGCGCAAUCCAUUUCAAGAGCCCAUAUCGACAAAUGGGUUUACGACCUCGAUGUUGGAUCAGGGUAUCCAAGUGGCGCAGCCGCUACUAAAGGUUCGUUUGUUCAACGAUUAAAACCUUACGUGAUCUGAGUCAGUCCGGGAGAAG
rnacentral:rRNA from 1 species